rnacentral:tRNA from 1 species
GUCAGCAUGGUGUAGUGGUUUGAGUGUUGGACUAGGACUCUGGAGACCAUGGUUCGAUUCCCAGCUUGGCCA